rnacentral:rRNA from 1 species
GAUGAACGCUGACAGAAUGCUUAACACAUGCAAGUCUACUUGAAUUUGGGUUUUUUAACUUCGAUUUGGGUGGCGGACGGGUGAGUAACGCGUAAAGAACUUGCCUCACAGCUAGGGACAACAUUUGGAAACGAAUGCUAAUACCUGAUAUUAUGAUUAUAGGGCAUCCUAGAAUUAUGAAAGCUAUAUGCGCUGUGAGAGAGCUUUGCGUCCCAUUAGCUAGUUGGAGAGGUAACGGCUCACCAAGGCGAUGAUGGGUAGCCGGCCUGAGAGGGUGAACGGCCACAAGGGGACUGAGACACGGCCCUUACUCCUACGGGAGGCAGCAGUGGGGAAUAUUGGACAAUGGACCGAGAGUCUGAUCCAGCAAUUCUGUGUGCACGAUGACGUUUUUCGGAAUGUAAAGUGCUUUCAGUUGGGAAGAAAAAAAUGACGGUACCAACAGAAGAAGUGACGGCUAAAUACGUGCCAGCAGCCGCGGUAAUACGUAUGUCACGAGCGUUAUCCGGAUUUAUUGGGCGUAAAGCGCGUCUAGGUGGUUAUGUAAGUCUGAUGUGAAAAUGCAGGGCUCAACUCUGUAUUGCGUUGGAAACUGUGUAACUAGAGUACUGGAGAGGUAAGCGGAACUACAAGUGUAGAGGUGAAAUUCGUAGAUAUUUGUAGGAAUGCCGAUGGGGAAGCCAGCUUACUGGACAGAUACUGACGCUGAAGCGCGAAAGCGUGGGUAGCAACAGG